GAUUUCUGGCUUGAUGUACCUGUCCCUCUUGGGUUAACCAGGUUGUGUGACGGAGUAUGUCUGCCAUCCUUCUAGAGAAUACAAGCUAUCCUUUACUGGACUGGUUUGUGUCAUCUAGAUCUUUUACUUUGAAAAAAUUAGAGUGUUUCAAGCAGGCGUUUUGCUAUGAAUACAUUAGCAUGGAAUAAUGAGUUAGGACUUCGGUUCUAUUUUGUUGGUUUCUAGGACUGAAGUAAUGAUUGAUAGGGAUAGUUGGGGGUGCUAGUAUUCAGCGGCCAGAGGUGAAAUUCUUGGAUUCGCUGAAGACUAACUUAUGCGAAAGCAUU
rnacentral:rRNA from 1 species